GAGAAAAUAGACUAUUAAUUGCACAAUUAAUAGAAAAGUGAAAAUGUUUCCAAAUCUACAAUAAACCUGUGUCCAAAGGAGUGACAGGUCAGUGGCGUGCUGAACUUUUGAUCUGGGGUCCAGCUGCAAUAGACUUGCUUGGUUAGCUGGCACGGGUAGGGCUCAUUUCCUGCCUGUUGAAGGGUGAUUAUGCUACACAGAGCUAUGAUGGUUUCUGAGUGGGAAAUUCACACAAGUUCUUGGUUAUUUGUAUCAGGAUCAUUCCUUGUGCAAACUUUGAUGUAGAUGAAGAUAAAGUGGUUUCUUGGUCAACAAUUGCAAUUUCUUUCUUUUAAAAUCAGUGGGUUUCUUGUAUAGUUCUAUUACGAUUGGCCCAGGUUUAAUUUCAUCCAUCUCCAUGAAGGCAAAACACUUGGUGCUGGUAAACCUCUUUUUAGGCUUAUAAUGUUUGAAUUCAAAGAAGAUGGCCUCACCUUUGGUUAACUUUUCAACAUGUUUCUGGAGCUCAAUGUCCACAUUAAAAUGAACAUAAGUAUCUUCUUUUCUUGAAGCCACAGGAGUAUCUUGUACGGGAGUUAAAUCUAUGCCAUUCAAAUCUUUCACGCUGACUGUGAUGUAGGGAUCCAUGCACUGCCCCGCGUCUUUCAAACCAAUUUUCUUAAUCCUGACGGUGAGUAACGUCAUC
rnacentral:lncRNA from 1 species